GACGCACGCUGGCUGCGUGCUUAACACAUGCAAGUCGAAUGAAGUGGCGAACGGGUGAGUAAUCCGUGAGUACCCUGCCUUCUUCUUUGGGAUAAGCCUGGGAAACUGGGUCUAAUACUGGAUAGUGGGGGAUGGGCUCACGGCCUAUCAGCUUGUUGGUGGGGUAAUGGCCUACCAAGGCGGGGAUGGGUAGCCGGCCUGAGAGGGUGACCGGCCACAUUGGGACUGAGAUACGGCCGAGACUACUAGGGGAGGCAGCAGUGGGGAAGAUUGCACAAUGGACGGAAGGCUGAUGCAGAGACGCCGCGUGGGGGAUGAAGGCUUUAGGGUUGUAAAAUCCUUUUGAUGCUGAAAGGGUAGGUGUUGAAUAAGCGCCGGCUAACGACGGGCCAGCAGCCGCGGUAAUUC
rnacentral:rRNA from 1 species